AAGCGUCUCAGUUCGGACUGUGGUCUGNAACCCGACCACACAAGCUGGAAUCGCUAGUAAUCGUGAAUCAGAAUGUCACGGUGAAUACGUUCCCGGGUCUUGUACACACCGCCCGUCACACCAUGGGAGUCAGCAACGCCCGAAGUCAGUGACCUAACCGAAAGGGAGGAGCUGCCGAAGGCGGGGCCGGUAACUGGGGUGAAGUCGUAACAAGGUAUC
rnacentral:rRNA from 1 species